GACACGUAAACACGCAUGCAGCGCCGGCCGCCUCUCCCCUCACUGCCACGGCCGCCCAGCUGCCGCGCUUGGUGCAAGAGAAGGCGGAGGAACCACGCUCCCCUGCUCCCCCUCCCCGUGGAAGUUGGAAGUAGCUCAGGUUUGAAGCCUGUCCGUAAGGCUGCACUCCCAGAGAGGAAAGAUGGUGCUCGGCGCCCCUCCCUCCCAAUCCCCGAAGGCAGAGAAACCGUUGUGUCCUAAGGAUGCUUCUGAGAAGUCUCGCUAUGGAAAUAGCCCUUGGCCAUGGAUUCUGGGGCUUUCUCCGAGGCCAUUGCCUUUUGAGGACCACAAGUGCUUCUCCCCGUGGAAAUUCUUCAGCUGUGUGUGUCUACUUGAAAUGUGCUUGAUGUCAGCGUCCUCCCUUAUUUAGAAAUCUUCAUUAGUAGAUGUGAUCCAUGCACACUGCUAUUUUCCAUCACACUUCAUUUCCAUGUAGAUUUUUCCCCCUUGUUAUUGAAGCGUUAGAUUAAAUAGAUCUCUCUUUUUAAGUCCGAACUUAAUAUGGUUUUUCUUAUAUUUGAAAAGAAUGGCAAGGUAGGUUCUUGGUGCAGUAAUUUCCCAAUGGAAAACUAAUGAGAAGUUACCUUAUCCCCAAGAGUCACCAAGUUGGUCUUCUAGAUGGUAGAACUUCAGAUUUAAAAAAAGUACACUCUUAGUUUUUGGAACCCAUGUGGGAACAAUUACAUUAAUUAUAUGUACUUUUAAAAAAUCUUAAUGCCAUAUUAAUAUGGAGUCAAAAUUUCUAAUGAAGAUCAAAUUAGUAUCGUUUUUUGUUACUGGGGUAUUAUUUUUUAACUGUCCAGUAAAUUUUGGAUAUUCUGGAUUUAGACUACCUUUUUGCCCUACUGUGUGGUUAGGUUUUUCAUUAUUUACUUUGGAAAAUAAUAGGAUUUUUUUCCCCCUACGGAAAGCUUUUUCAUUUCUUGAUUAUAGAAUCUUGGCUGUGGCAUUAUACUGACUUUCUAUAAGCAUAACCAGUUCCACUUGCACUACUGGAAUUGUUUGAGCCUUUUAUCGGAAAGUUACAAAUAAAGUUCAUUUCUGUUUGGAUGACAAAGCCAAGAAAAUACUUGGUGUGAGAAACCAUGUUGACAAAGAUGAAGUUAACCUUUGGAAGUUAGCAUGAGGACUGUUUCUAGAAAUAUCUUUUGAGUUAAUAUGGGGUUCAGAAAGAUACUUUUAAAGGUCAAGACUGUCAGUUCUUUUGGUGUAUUAAGAUUUGAGAUGUAUGAUUAUAGUCUGUAUGAGAGAAGUUAAGUUCCCAGCAUAAAUUAUCAAUUGGUAGAGAAUAGGUUGGAAGCACAUUUAAAUGGGCUCUGGUUAUGAGGUAGGAGGUCGAACUAUUUUUUUGUUCACAGCGCAAUAAAAGCCGUUUGAAGUUUUUUUUUUUUCUUUAAAGUUUUAAGUGCCUAAGAAUAUGGACAAACCAUGAUACACUUUUUUUCUGUAUGUUAGUACCAGAAAAUUGGCCAAGAAAUCCUUAAAAUUUGGUUUGAAAUGUGGGAAGGCAGUAGGAACUGGAAAGGCAUUGUGUGUGUGUGUGUUUUUUUUUUUUUCGUUAGAUAAAUCCAGAGAUUGCUGUAAAAUAGACUUGAGAUGAACACACUAAACGUGGAAAUAAUUGAGAGAUUAGGAAAUAUAAACCUAGCUUUUUCCCCCCAUAGUCUUGUACCUCUUGGGUAAAACUUGUAUUUUCCGUUUUUACUUAGAGACAAAAGUUGUGAAUAGGGAAAAUAUAUCACAGUAGACUUUUUCAUGUUUAGUGAAAAUGAGCAAUUUUUAACUUGUGUAAAUAUUUAUGCCCUGAUCACCAGCUGUUCAAAUAGUAAAGUAGCGACUUAAAUAGAACCUUAAAAAAUUAAAUAAGCAGCUAUUUUACCACUAUGAAUUUUAUCCUGUUCAAGCUGAGAGGAGUUAGUGCUUGGUAGAAUUUAAUACAUAAAUUCAACUUUAUUUUUAAAAAAUUACAUCAUAAACUAAUAAUGAAGCUGCAAGUUUCACUCUUCACCCCAACAUCUUCUCUUGGAAGGCUCUAAAGGUAAAGGUAUCACUUUGUAUAGAAUUUGGCUAGGUUUUAUUAGUUGUGGUCAUCUAAGUCUUUUUAUCAUGAAUAUUAGAUGGUUUUCAAUAGGUAUGUCUGCUUGAACUUUUCAGUAUCAAGGUUCUGUUGCAUUCAUAUUUUAAUAUGGCAGACCUUGUGACUGCUUUUCCCAUGAAAUUCAAGAUUAGGACUUGACUGCUUUAAUGCCUUAAAGGUCACUACUAUACAAUUAUAACUUGUUGACUCAGUUCCUUUUUUGGGCUUGUCAAUAGUAUGACAUCCAAAAUAACUGCAAUUGUAAUUUAGUAAUAAUAUUGGCAAACACUUGUAUAGUACCUAAUAAGUUGUGGGCAUUGUUCUAAGCAGUUUAUAUACAUUGACUAAAUCUCAGCAGUGUUUUGUGGUAGGUACUAUUCCCAUUUUACAGAUGAGGAGGCUAAAGUACUGAGAAGUUAGGUAACUUGCCCAAGGUCACACAGCUAAUAAGUGGUGGAGUUGGAAUUUGAAGAUAGGUGUGGAGUACUUCUUACCUCUGUUCAAACUGGGUAGCAAGAUUUUUGUUUUUUUUUGUAACCUAAGGAUUUAAGUUAGCUGCUUUUGACCUGAACCGUUUGUAACAAAAACUGUCUCCCCCCACCA